UGUGUAUUCGGACUUCCUGCUCUACA
rnacentral:piRNA from 1 species